rnacentral:rRNA from 1 species
AUUGCCCCAGUAACGGCGAGUGAAGCGGCAACAGCUCAAAUUUGAAAUCUGGCCACCCCCGCGGGAGGUCCGAGUUGUAAUUUGCAGAGGAUGCUUCUGGCGCGGCGCCUUCCGAGUUCCCUGGAACGGGACGCCACAGAGGGUGAGAGCCCCGUCCGGUCGGACGCCUAGCCUGUGUGAAGCACCUUCGACGAGUCGGGUAGUUUGGGAAUGCUGCCCUAAAUGGGAGGUAUAUGUCUUCUAAAGCUAAAUACCGGCCAGAGACCGAUAGCGCACAAGUAGAGUGAUCGAAAGAUGAAAAGCACUUUGAAAAGAGGGUUAAACAGUACGUGAAAUUGUUGAAAGGGAAGCGCUCAUGACCAGACUUGGGCCCGGGGGAUCACCCGGCGUUCUUUCGCCGGGGCACUUCGCCGGCUGCCCAGGCCAGCAUCAGUUCGCGGCGGGGGACAAAGGCUUCGGGAACGUAGCUCCCCUACGGGGAGUGUUAUAGCCCGCUGCGCAAUGCCCUGCCGCGGACUGAGGUUCGCGCUUCCGCAAGGAUGCUGGCGUAAUGGUCAUCAGCGACCCGUCUUGAAACACGGACCAAGGAGUCGUCUUCGUAUGCGAGUGUUCGGGUGUCAAACCCCUACGCGGAAUGAAAGUGAACGCAGGUGAGAGCUUCGGCGCAUCACCGACCGAUCCUGAUGUUCUCGGAUGGAUUUGAGUAAGAGCAUACGGGGCCGGACCCGAAAGAAGGUGAACUAUGCCUGUAUAGGGUGAAGCCAGAGGAAACUCUGGUGGAGGCUCGCAGCGGUUCUGACGUGCAAAUCGAUCGUCAAAUAUGGGCAUGGGGGC